rnacentral:sRNA from 1 species
AAAGACUGGGAACAGGCAGAGCAUGGGUGGAACUAUUAACACAAGUAUCUGUUUUAGCACCACCCAUGCACUGCCUCUUCCCUGGCUUGCG